GUGCUCACUUUGGCAGCACAUAUACUAAAAUUGGAACGAUACAGGGAAGAUUAUCACGGCUCUGUGCAAGGAUGACAUGCAAAUUUGUGAAGUGUUCCAUAUUAAA